rnacentral:tRNA from 1 species
CAAAAGAUAAGCUAAUUAAGCUAAUGGGCUCAUACCUCAUUUAUGAGAGUAAAUCUCUCUCUUUUUA